AUACAGAGGGUGCAAGCGUUAAUCGGAAUUACUGGGCGUAAAGCGCGCGUAGGCGGUUUAAUCAGUCGGAUGUGAAAGCCCCGGGCUCAACCUGGGAACUGCAUUCGAUACUGUUAAGCUAGAGUAUGGUAGAGGGAAGUGGAAUUCCAGGUGUAGCGGUGAAAUGCGUAGAUAUCUGGAGGAACAUCAGUGGCGAAGGCGACUUCCUGGACCAAUACUGACGCUGAGGUGCGAAAGCGUGGGGAGCAAACAGGAUUAGAAACCCGAGUAGUCC
rnacentral:rRNA from 1 species